UUUUCCUUUUGGUCUUGGAGCUAAGAUCAAGAGUGGUUUUGGUUUUUAGUUUUAUCUUAUACAUCUGCUAUUUGGGGACCAUAUAUUAAAUGGAUUUUGGAACCGGGAGAUGGAAAAAGAUCUUGCUCUGUCAAACUCCAUGCAUUGCCUAGGUGCUUCAGUAUCUUCCAGAAUAAUGCACAGAGC